rnacentral:sRNA from 1 species
CGGUUUUCUGCCGGGGGAGCGGUGGAGUCAGUGCCGCUCGUCUCCCUCGGCAGUCUUGAGCAAGCCAGGAGGGCGCGCGCCAGGGACGGCGCAUU